rnacentral:rRNA from 1 species
UCGAGAAUAUUCGACAAUGGGCGAAAGCCUGAUCGAGCGACGCCGCGUGCAGGAUGAAGGCCCUCGGGUUGUAAACUGCGGUAGUAGGGGAGGAACGCAAGUGACUGUACCCUACGGAAAGUGGUUGGUAACUACGUGCCAGCACCAGCGGUAAUACGUAGACCACAAGCGUUAUCCGGAUUUAUUGGGCGUAAAGAGCAUGUAGGAGGUCCGGUGCGUCUCUGGUUAAAGCCCACCGCCUAACGGUGGAAGUGCCAGAGAUACGAUCGGACUGGAGGAUGUGAGAGGUGCAUGGAACUCACGGUGUAGGGGUGAAAUCCGUUGAUAUCGUGGGGAACACCAAAGGCGAAGGCAGUGCACUGGUACAUUCUUGACUCUCACACACGAAAGCUAGGGUAGCGAAGAGGAUUAGAUACCCGCGUAGUCCCUGAGCGGGCUGGCAAGGCGCAU